AUGGCCAUCUCAACCGUCGUCGUCAUGCUCCUUUCUUCUGCCAUGGCUGCCCACGCCAGCGGUGGUGGGAAGAAGGACAACACAAGCCUCGUGAUGAAGGCGUGCAAGAACAUCUCAGGCCAGCCAUUCAAGGUGGGCUUCCUGCCAGAAUUCUGCGCAUCGACGCUCCUAUCAGACAACCGGAGUGCCGAGGCGAAGGACUGCCGCGGCCUUGCACUCAUCAUUGUCGACAUACUCAAGGUGCAUGCAGCCGCCAUGGUAGGCAAGGUGGACAACAUGCUUCGCGAAGGCGGCCGAAUCGCCACGAAGGAUAAGAUAGCAGCUCGUGCCCUCAGGUUGUGUCGGGCGGACUAUGGCGGCAUGGUGAACACGCUCCAAAUCUGCCACAAUAUCAUUCAGGACUUCGGCCGAAAAGGUAAGCAUGGGCCGACACCCUCGGAGCUACCAGAGUGCGUUGAGAAGAUGACCAACAGCAUCAAGGACUGCACUCACGAGGUCUGUAGCACGUCGGUGGCGGGGACGAUGGCAAAUGAAAUACUAGAGAAGCUGGCAAUCGUCAGCAAAGCCUUAAUAAAUCUCUUCUUGGCCGACAAGAAGGAUGGUAACUAG
rnacentral:rRNA from 1 species